rnacentral:lncRNA from 1 species
CUGCCUGGCUGGGUCCUGGGCUGACAGAGGUGAGCGUGGGGCUUGUGGUGACUUGGUAAUGCUGUGAAUUAUGUACGUGUGGCAGGAAGGUGCCACAGUGCUAAGGCCCCGCAUCUUGGAAAUUCCAUAGGGUCCACAUGAGGAUGAACUAAACACCAAAUGCAGUCCUCAAAGGAAUAAUAAAACAAAUACCCACAUAAGGGAAUCUCUGGAACUGAGUCUGGAAGAGGGGGCUGCCUGGUCCACUCCAGGAGAAUUUGCCUAAAACAAGUUUGCUUCUCAUUGCAUUCUCUUUGCUUCUUCUAAACAUCACCUCCUCUAGAGGUUACAUUACACCCCAUUCCUGUAAUUUACAUCAUUCUGGGCUCCUUACUCUUGUUGCAUCCUUUUUUACAUUUUAAGGAUGCCUAGAUUCGAUUUACUUAAGAGCAUAUACGGCUUAAUUUUAUAUUUCUGGUAAUCAUUUAUUACAUUUCCCCCAUUUUAUCAAAUGACACAUUUUUCUCAUGUCUAUUUUAAUAUGUUAAAGAUUUUUGUAUACAGUUUAUCUAAAACUCCUUGCUUAAAAUGAGUUUAAUUCUAGCAAUACAGACAUGCCUAUCUCUGCAUUGUUUUAUAAUUUGACGAUAAAUGUUUUUCCUCAAUAUAUGACUGUAUUGGAUAAUACUUUUUAAAAAGAUACAAUAAAAUCUGAUCUCUCUGUCUCACUUGAUCAUGUGGCUGAACCAGUCAAUCCCUCCAUCAAAUAGAAAUAUCCGGCAUCACUUAAUCUAAUUAAUAAAAACAUCCACCCAUGAUGAGAAGACCAAAGCAAACAGCCCAAAAAGGAGAGAAUCCCAUGAUUUCUGUGUAAAGUCCUACAGAUAUCAUAAAUAUUUAUUGCUGGAAACAGUGUUUUAAAUAAAAGGUCUUCAGGUAAGUGUAUAAAAACUUCCUUGGAUACAAGGGACCCUAUCACUUGUAAAACUUGGCAAAUUGGACAACAAUUAAAAAUACAAAAUUACACAGAAAAUAUCCUUUAAUAAAUUGAUUUUUUUUUAAUUGAGACGGAGUUUGGCUCUUGUUGCCUAGGCUGAAGUGCAAUGGCGCCAUCUUGGCUCCCUGCCACCUCUGCCUCCAGG